rnacentral:rRNA from 1 species
UUGACCUCANAUCAGGUAGGACUACCCGCUGAACUUAAGCAUAUNCAUCAGCGGAGGAAAAGAACUAAACAGAUGCCCUAGUACUGCGAGUGAAGCGGAAAGCUCAAUUUANAUCUNGCGUCUGCUGCGUCGAGUGUAUCUGAGAAGCGUAUCCGCUCGACCGGUCUAGUCUCUGAAGGAGCGUCUGAGGUAGAUCCGCUUGACCGACACGGUUU